GACGAACGCUGGCGGCGUGCUUAACACAUGCAAGUCGAACGAUGAACUGGAGCUUGCUCCAGGGAUUAGUGGCGAACGGGUGAGUAACACGUGAGUAACCUGCCCUUGACUCUGGGAUAAGCGCUAGAAAUGGCGUCUAAUACCGGAUACGAGCUUCAGCCGCAUGGCUAGGAGUUGGAAAGAAUUUUGGUCAAGGAUGGACUCGCGGCCUAUCAGCUAGUUGGUGAGGGAAUGGCUCACCAAGGCGACGACGGGUAGCCGGCCUGAGAGGGUGACCGGCCACACUGGGACUGAGGCACGGCCCAGACUGCUACGGGAGGCAGCAGUGGGGAAUAGUGCACAAUGGGCGAAAGCCUGAUGCAGCAACGCCGCGUGAGGGAUGACGGCCUUCGGGUUGUAAACCUCUUUUAGUAGGGAAGAAGCGAAAGUGACGGUACCUGCAGAAAAAGCACCGGCUAACUACGUGCCAGCCGCCGCGGUAA
rnacentral:rRNA from 1 species